CAGCCGCCACGGGAAUACGAAGGGGGCUAGCGUUGUUCGGAAUUACUGGGCGUAAAGCGCACGUAGGCGGACAUUUAAGUCAGGGGUGAAAUCCCGGGGCUCAACCCCGGAACUGCCUUUGAUACUGGGUGUCUAGAGUAUGGAAGAGGUGAGUGGAAUUCCGAGUGUAGAGGUGAAAUUCGUAGAUAUUCGGAGGAACACCAGUGGCGAAGGCGGCUCACUGGUCCAUUACUGACGCUGAGGUGCGAAAGCGUGGGGAGCAAACAGGAUUAGAUACCCCCGUAGUCCCUGUCUCUUAUAA
rnacentral:rRNA from 1 species